GACGUAGGGCGCGAGCGUUGUCCGGAUUUAUUGGGCGUAAAGAGCUCGUAGGCGGCUCGUUGCGUCGGCUGUGAAAACCCGCAGCUCAACUGUGGGCUUGCAGCUGAUACGGGCGGGCUGGAGUUCGGUAGGGGAGACUGGAAUUCCUGGUGUAGCGGUGAAAUGCGCAGAUAUCAGGAGGAACACCGGUGGCGAAGGCGGGUCUCUGGACAGUUCCUGACGCUGAGGCACGAAGGCCAGGGGAGCAAACGGG
rnacentral:rRNA from 1 species